UGGUGGUGCAGUGGUAGAAUUCUCACCUUCCAUGUGGGAGUCUCUGGGUUUGACUCCCAGCCA
rnacentral:tRNA from 1 species